AUAUAGGUAAGGUCAAAAUGAAAUGUCAUUAAUUUAUGUUGCAUCAGUUCAAUCUUGAAACAUCUAGUCUAGGAUUAGCAAACGAAAUGUUAUGAGAAAAUUCGAAAGCACAUUGCAUCUGUUCAAAUGAGAAUUUGUCAUUGUACAACGUUAAUUUUCAUCAUCCAUCCCUUCGACAUAUUUUACCGAGAUUUCAAGAUCAAGGCUAUGGAAACGUGCUCGAAUCACCUAACUCGCCAUUCCAACUUUGAUUAUUAUUCAAGCAAGAUUCAAUAAAAUUGACAAGCUUAAAUCAGAAACCAUAUUUUACAUUUUCCAUUAUACAAAAGCUUCCAUCCAUCACAAUUUCCCUUCUUAUUAUUACAAAAUUCAUAAUGAAUGUUACGAUGAGUUCACAAAAGUCCGCCAACUUUAAUCGACAAAAAUAUGUAUAAUAAAACAUAAAACUGAAAGAAACAUAAGAACGCAAAGGAACACUAUAUUUUUCGCCCUAAGAUAAGAGGUUCAGAACUAGAGUUCCUAAUCCCCUUUUGAGCUUCCGCCACCGGAAGAAAUCACUAUAUUAAUGGAAUCGACGAAACCAUCCAGCAAAUACAACUCAUGGCACUUAGAUAAUCACUCAAGAUUCUUUCAAAAUUAGCCCCUCUUUUGAUGCAAUCAUUCACUCAAGAAUCACAACUUCACAAUAUACAAAUGACUCAAGAUUUAUUCAAACUGGAAGUUUCAGAUCAAGGAGGCUUUCUGGACUGAUUUUGGAGAUGGGAGAUGUACAGCUUCAGUUAGAGUUCGAGAGGUAGGGAAUGAGAAUCAUAUCAAAAGUCUCACAGCCAGAAACCCUAAUGAGAGUCAUAUAGAAGACCCUAGAA
rnacentral:lncRNA from 1 species